UACUCCUGACUGACCGAUAGUGAACCAGUACCGUGAGGGAAAGGCGAAAAGAACCCCGGCGAGGGGAGUGAAAAAGAACCUGAAACCGUGUACGUACAAGCAGUGGGAGCACCCUUUGGGGUGUGACUGCGUACCUUUUGUAUAAUGGGUCAGCGACUUAUAUUCUGUAGCAAGGUUAACCGUAUAGGGGAGCCGGAGGGAAACCG
rnacentral:rRNA from 1 species